GUGAGUACGGAUUAAUCGGAUUGCGUGAUCAAGAUAGAGAGUUCAGGCGCGUGUGACCGGUCAACAGGGGAUGCUUCCUCCUCCUCGGCACCUGAUGCCACAUCUAAAGUGUGUCCAGUGGAGUUAUGAGAUUUAUCACUGUUCGUUAUCUUCACCUUACAUUUACAAAUUAAAAGUCAGCAAGAAUACAGCGAUGUAAGACCUCAAUUGUGCACGAGAAAAAAUAACAUGAGCCACGAAUCGAACGGUUUUUCUUUCAAACAAGGGUGGCUGUGUACUUGUUUGUGUCCCAUUUCCACAGAGAGCAGGGAAGAAUACACAGUGCACAGUGUAAUAGGGAAGAUCAGGAAACUCCAGUUCACUCUUGUAUCAUCACGUGGAUGUCAAAGACUGCCAUAACCAUCUAGAAAAAG